CCGCCGACCCUCAACCGAGGGCGUCGGACGUCGCGAUUCGUUCGCCGUCGAUACCGAAAGUGCGCGCCUCAAGCUCGUUGUCGCGGACGUUUCGGCGUUCGCGCGACGAUGGCGCGUUUCUCACGUUUCGACGCGGACGGUACGUUUGCGCGCGGGUAUUCGAGGCGGUCCCUCGUCCGGCGUCUCGUACGUCGGACGGCACUCGCCUCGACGCCGGUCAGCGACGAAUCUUCGGGCCUCUUUCCGACCCGUCUUGAAACACGGACCAAGGAGUCUAGGGUGCGCGCGAGUCGCGGGGUAUCCGAGGAGUAAUGACCCUCGUCAAGAUACGAAACCCGUUCACGUACAUUGUACGAAGGCGUAAUGAAAGUGAAAGAGGGCGCCUCGCGCGUCCUCGGGGGAAGACGGUGCGCUGCGAAAUACGUUUCGCGAUCGUAUAUGUAUCGCGACCAGCCGCCCGCAUUCCCAGGGCGUCCCGCCUGUGCGACGGCGAUCGGGGCUCGCUCCGGUCGUCGACGAACUGGGGCGCACCUAUAGCGUGCACCCUGGUACCCGAAAGAUGGUGAACUAUGCCCGGCCAGGAUGAAGU
rnacentral:rRNA from 1 species